rnacentral:rRNA from 1 species
UGCCAGCCGCCGCGGUAAUACAGAGGGUGCAAACGUUGCUCGGAAUUACUGGGCGUAAAGCGCGUGUAGGCGGUUCGUUAAGUCGACUGUGAGAGCCCAUGGCUCAACCAUGGAAGAGCAGUCGAUACUGGCGAACUGGAGUCCCGGAGAGGGUGGUGGAAUUCCCAGUGUAGAGGUGAAAUUCGUAGAUAUUGGGAGGAACACCGGUGGCGAAGGCGACCAUCUGGACGGGUACUGACGCUGAGACGCGAAAGCGUGGGGAGCAAACAGGAUUAGAUA